UACGGAGGGUGCAAGCGUUGUCCGGAUUUAUUGGGUUUAAAGGGUGCGUAGGCGGCUAAUUAAGUCAGCGGUGAAAUUCCACAGCUUAACUGUGAGAACUGCCAUUGAUACUGGUUGGCUUGAGUACAGAUGAGGUAGGCGGAAUUGACAGUGUAGCGGUGAAAUGCAUAGAUAUGUCACAGAACACCAAUUGCGAAGGCAGCUUACUAAGCUAUGAUUGACGCUGAGGCACGAAAGCGUGGGGAUCAAACAGG
rnacentral:rRNA from 1 species